rnacentral:tRNA from 1 species
GAUAGCGUGGCCGAGCAGUCUAAGGCGCUGGAUUAAGGCUCCAGUCUCUUUCCGAGGCGUGGGUUCGAAUCCCACCGCUGUCA